GUUGACGAUAUUUUUGUGUGUAAUUUAAUUACAAAAGCACUCAUCAAGUUUCAGGCGAAAACGAAUUAAAACGGAAAUUCUACGGGAUUUUUAAGUUUCACUUAAAGUGAAUAGUAACUCGAUUUUCCGGAGAAGCCGCGGUGAGAAGUUGGUUUCUGGCUCGUACCGGACUCUGUUCAUAGCAGUCCAAUAGCUCGUUUCGACCGGUUCAGCUAUUCUGGAACUGAUGGCGCUGACGGAUUUUGAGUUCGACUCACGGAUUUCGAGAAAAUCCAAAAAUCCAUAUUCUAUAUGUAUUUAGGUGUGUUUUCUUCUGUUGAAAGGAAGGUUGGAUUUUGUCGUGAAUCCGUGGUCGAUCGAGAUGAAUCGAAAUGUAGCUUUGUUGUCUCCGUCGUGCUGAUCGCACUGGUGUGAUCCGUUCGCAAAUCUGACGGACGGAUCUGCGGAGAUCGCGCGUUGAUCGAGGAGAGGUCGGUAGUGGCAAAACGGUAUUUUCGCAAAAAUCGCGAUAUUUUAUGUACCGUUUCGCGUGAGAUCGCACGUGGAGGGGUAUUCGUGCAUUUUAGUCGUGCUGUGAGGGACUCGGUAUGAAUUACCGGUGUUUGGUGGACCU
rnacentral:lncRNA from 1 species